GUUCCCUUCGGGGAACAAGUAGAGUGGCGCACGGGUGAGUAACACGUAGGUAAUCUACCUUCGGAUGGGGAAUAACAACCGGAAACGGUUGCUAAUACCGCAUAAUGCAGCGGCACCUAAUGGUGACAGUUGUUAAAGCGGGGGAUCGCAAGACCCCGCGUCUGAAGAGGAGCCUGCGGCGGAUUAGCUAGUUGGUAAGGUAAUGGCUUACCAAGGCGACGAUCCGUAACCGGCCUGAGAGGGCGGUCGGUCACACUGGCACUGACAUACGGGUCAGACUCCUACGGGAGGCAGCAGUCGGGAAUUUUGGGCAAUGGGCGAAAGCCUGACCCAGCAACGCCGCGUGAAGGAUGAGAUCCCUCGGGAUGUAAACUUCGCAAGAACGGGAAGAAUAAGUAGGGGACAAUACCCCCUAUGAUGACGGUACCGUUUGUAAGCUCCGGCUAACUCCGUGCCAGCAGCCGCGGUAAUACGGGGGGAGCAAGCGUUGUUCGGAUUUACUGGGCGUAAAGGGCGCGUAGGCGGCCUCCGCAAGUCAGUUGUGAAAUCUCCGGGCUUAACUCGGAAAGGUCAACUGAUACUGCGGGGCUAGAGUGCAGAAGGGGCAACUGGAAUUCUCGGUGUAGCGGUGAAAUGCGUAGAUAUCGAGAGGAACACCUGCGGCGAAGGCGGGUUGCUGGGCUGACACUGACGCUGAGGCGCGAAAGCCAGGGGAGCGAACGGGAUUAGAUACCCCGGUAGUCCUGGCCUUAAACGAUGAAUGCUUGGUGUCUGGGGUUAUAAAGUCCCCGGGUGCCGUCGCUAACGCUUUAAGCAUUCCGCCUGGGGAGUACGGUCGCAAGACUGAAACUCAAAGGAAUUGACGGGGACCCGCACAAGCGGUGGAGCAUGUGGUUUAAUUCGACGCAACGCGAAGAACCUUACCUGGGCUAGAAUGCCUCUGACAG
rnacentral:rRNA from 1 species